GAUGAACGCUGGCGGCGUGCCUAAUACAUGCAAGUCGAGCGAACAGACGAGGAGCUUGCUCCUCUGACGUUAGCGGCGGACGGGUGAGUAACACGUGGAUAACCUACCUAUAAGACUGGGAUAACUUCGGGAAACCGGAGCUAAUACCGGAUAAUAUAUUGAACCGCAUGGUUCAAUAGUGAAAGACGGUUUUGCUGUCACUUAUAGAUGGAUCCGCGCCGCAUUAGCUAGUUGGUAAGGUAACGGCUUACCAAGGCAACGAUGCGUAGCCGACCUGAGGGGGUGAUCGGCCACACUGGAACUGAGACACGGUCCAGACUCCUACGGGAGGCAGCAGUAGGGAAUCUUCCGCAAUGGGCGAUAGCCUGACGGAGCAACGCCGCGUGAGUGAUGAAGGUCUUCGGAUCGUAAAACUCUGUUAUUAGGGAAGAACAAAUGUGUAAGUAACUAUGCACGUCUUGACGGUACCUAAUCAGAAAGCCACGGCUAACUACGUG
rnacentral:rRNA from 1 species